rnacentral:misc_RNA from 1 species
UUGGAGAGACAGAAGUUAAGGGAUGGAGAGGCCAGUGAUGAAGAAGAGGAGUAUGAGGCCAAAGAAAUAGAAGUAGAGGAGUUGUUGGAUGUUUCUGAGGAGGUUCUUUCAUUUGAAUUUGGACAGGAGUAAGCGGUAUUGGUAAUAUACUCAGAACUCAUACAUCCUCUGUUCAAGGUUAAAUUCAACUAGAAGCACCGAAGUUGUGGGAGAUACACGAAACGCUUGGCUUUGGGAUUUGGUAUUUUAGUUUCGGUGUUUG